rnacentral:rRNA from 1 species
AUUGAACGCUGGCGGCAGGCUUAACACAUGCAAGUCGAGCGGGGUGAUGGUGCUUGCACUAUCACUUAGCGGCGGACGGGGAGUAAUGCUUAGGAAUCUGCCUAUUAGUGGGGGACAACAUCUCGAAAGGGAUGCUAAUACCGCAUACGUCCUACGGGAGAAAGCAGGGGAUCACUUGUGACCUUGUGCUAAUAGAUGAGCCUGAGUCGGAUUAGCUAGUUGGCGGGGUAAAGGCCUACCAAGGCGACGAUCUGUAGCGGGUCUGAGAGGAUGAUCCGCCACACUGGGACUGAGACACGGCCCAGACUCCGACGGGAGGCAGCAGUGGGGAAUAUUGGACAAUGGGGGGAACCCUGAUCCAGCCAUGCCGCGUGUGUGAAGAAGGCCUUAUGGUUGUAAAGCACUUUAAGCGAGGAGGAGGCUUACCUAGUUAAUACCUGGGAUAAGUGGACGUUACUCGCAGAAUAAGCACCGGCUAACUCUGUGCCAGCCGCCGCGGUAA